AUACGGAGGGUGCAAGCGUUAAUCGGAAUUACUGGGCGUAAAGCGUACGUAGGCGGUUCGUUAAGUUAGAUGUGAAAGCCCCGGGCUUAACCUGGGAACUGCAUUUAAAACUGGCGAACUAGAGUUGAGUAGAGGGGAGUGGAAUUUCAGGUGUGGCGGUGAAAUGCGUAGAGAUCUGAAGGAACACUAGUGGCGAAGGCGACUCCCUGGACUCGAACUGACGCUGAGGUACGAAAGCGUGGGUAGCAAACGGGAUUAGAAACCCUAGUAGUCC
rnacentral:rRNA from 1 species